UGCAGUCGAACGAUGAAGACCGUGCUUGCACGGUCGGAUUAGUGGCGAACGGGUGAGUAUCACGUGAGUAACCUUCCCUUAACUCUGGGAUAAGCCCGGGAAACUGGGUCUAAUACCGGAUACGACCAGUCCUCGCAUGGGGUGCUGGUGGAAAGAUUUAUCGGUUUUGGAUGGACUCGCGGCCUAUCAGCUUGUUGGUGAGGUAAUGGCUCACCAAGGCGAUGACGGGUAGCCGGCCUGAGAGGGUGACCGGCCACACUGGGACUGAGACACGGCCCAGACUCCUACGGGAGGCAGCAGUGGGGAAUAUUGCACAAUGGGCGAAAGCCUGAUGCAGCGACGCCGCGUGCGGGAUGACGGCCUUCGGGUUGUAAACCGCUUUCAGCAGGGAAGAAGCGAAAGUGACGGUACCUGCAGAAGAAGCGCCGGCUAACUACGUGCCAGCAGCCGCGGUAAUACGUAGGGCGCGAGCGUUAUCCGGAAUUAUUGGGCGUAAAGAGCUCGUAGGCGGUUUGUCACGUCUGCUGUGAAAGCCCGGGGCUCAACUCCGGGUGUGCAGUGGGUACGGGCAGACUAGAGUGCAGUAGGGGAGACUGGAAUUCCUGGUGUAGCGGUGAAAUGCGCAGAUAUCAGGAGGAACACCGAUGGCGAAGGCAGGUCUCUGGGCUGUUACUGACGCUGAGGAGCGAAAGCAUGGGGAGCGAACAGGAU
rnacentral:rRNA from 1 species